rnacentral:snRNA from 1 species
GGAUGUGAGGGCGAUCUGGCUGCAACAUCUGUAACCCCACUGAUCACCAGGGUUGAUUCAGCUCAUCAGGCUGGCUAGGUAGGGUGUCCUUCCUCCCUCACUGCUCUAUGUGUGUCCCUCCUAAAGCUGUGCUUUCAGUGGAAGAGGACGACCAUCCCUGAUAGAGGGCCGUUCUUUGGCCAGGGCAUACGAGUAGCUGCGGCCCCUGCCAGAACCUCCAAACAAGCUCCCAAGGUGUAGGCCCUGAGCUCAAACCCCAGUACCGCAAAACAAAAAAAAAAAAGGAAUGAAGCAUCGAUUCAUGCUAUAAUGU